rnacentral:rRNA from 1 species
GAUGCAGCGACGCCGCGUGAGGGAUGACGGCCUUCGGGUUGUAAACCUCUUUCAGCAGGGAAGAAGCGAAAGUGACGGUACCUGCAGAAGAAGCGCCGGCUAACUACGUGCCAGCAGCCGCGGUAAUACGUAGGGCGCAAGCGUUGUCCGGAAUUAUUGGGCGUAAAGAGCUCGUAGGCGGCUUGUCACGUCGGAUGUGAAAGCCCGAGGCUUAACCUCGGGUCUGCAUUCGAUACGGGCUAGCUAGAGUGUGGUAGGGGAGAUCGGAAUUCCUGGUGUAGCGGUGAAAUGCGCAGAUAUCAGGAGGAACACCGGUGGCGAAGGCGGAUCUCUGGGCCAUUACUGACGCUGAGGAGCGAAAGCGUGGGGAGCGAACAGGAUUAGAUACCCUGGUAGUCCACGCCGUAAACGUUGGGAACUAGGUGUUGGCGACAUUCCACGUCGUCGGUGCCGCAGCUAACGCAUUAAGUUCCCCGCCUGGGGAGUACGGCCGCAAGGCUAAAACUCAAAGGAAUUGACGGGGGCCCGCACAAGCGGCGGAGCAUGUGGCUUAAUUCGACGCAACGCGAAGAACCUUACCAAGGCUUGACAUAUACCGGAAAGCAUUAGAGAUAGUGCCCCCCUUGUG